CUCACCUUUUUGUUUUUUCUCUUUUGAAAAAUAAGAUGGGAAAGAGAUAGGUAGGAAUUAGUAAUGUAAAUUUUUUAAAAAACAUUUUUCCUUUCUUUUAUUUGUUUUCUAAUUGAUGGUGCCAUGGUGAUGAAAAAGAAUAAGAAUGAUUUGACAAUGAAAAAUGCUUUGGUGGUGAUUAGACGGAAAAAAAAUCUUGUGAAGAGAACAGGCUAAGGGAGAAGUGAGAAAGAAAAACUAAAAGGGCGUUCUUGGUACUGAUAGCCAGGUCGAAUGGUUUCGUAUGACAAUCGACGUAGGUUCUCACACGGCUUACAAACCAUCGAAUGAGGAAGAAAGAAGGAUUUAGUCUUUGUUCUCAACAAUCGAACGGGUAGCUUCACUCGCUGUAAAUUUGCAUAAUAGAAUAGGGAAAAGUUCAAGGUCAAACUCAGUCCAGCUAGGGUUGUCCAUAAGUGUGUAGAAAGAAAUGAUUUGGCUCCGGUCCGCUCUUGUAGUAGGGAGAAGAAAGAACGGUGCGCUGAUUUGUGGUUUAGGGGUAAUGGAGAAUGAGAGAGAGUUGGGUUGCUUACUAAAGUGCUGCUCUAACCUGAAACAUGUUGAGCAGGCACAUGGAUUCAUGGUACGGAGAGCCCUCGAUCACAAUAAGUUUAUUCUCAGCCAAUUUAUCAAGACAUGCUUUUCUCUGGGCUUCUCGGACUAUGCCUAUUUUGUGUUUGCCUUCAGUGCCCAAACCCGCAGCCACAUAUAUGUGUUCAACACCAUGAUCAAGGUGCUGACACUUUCUCACUCUGCUUUUGAGGCAUUCCUUGUUUAUAAAAGCAUUGGCUCGGCCAAUCUGCAACCCGACAGUUACUCCUUCCCGUUUGUGUUGAAGGCAGUUGUUGAUCUCCAGGCCCUCCAUUUGGGAACUCAGAUUCACUGUCAAACUAUAUGCGCCGGACUUGACUCCAAUAUUCAUGUGAUCUCAGCACUCAUUCAAAUGUAUUCCUCGUGUGCUUGCAUUUUGGGUGCUCGCAAGCUGUUCGACCAUGCUUGUCUCAACCUUGUCUCUAUGGACGACUUUGCCAUUUGGAAUGCCAUGAUUGCUGGAUAUGCCAAGGUUGGCGACCCAGACACUGCUUGGGGUUUGCUGGAGCGCAUGCCUCAAACUCAAACCAAUGCAGUACUUAUUUGUUGGACAGCUGUGAUUGCAGGCUACGCUCAAAUGGACCAUCCCAACGAGGCCAUCGCUGUAUUUCGUAGAAUGCAGUUGGAGAAUGUGAAGCCUGACGAAAUCGCAAUGUUGGCUGUGCUUUCUGCUUGUGCCCAUUUUGGUGCCAUUCAAGUUAAAUUCGGAGAGUGCAUUCAUGGCUAUAUUCAUAAACGUGGUUUCUACCAAAUGGUUCCCCUUCAAAAUGCGCUUAUUGAAAUGUAUGCCAAGUCAGGCAAUAUAUGCAAGGCAUUGCAAGUAUUUGAGAACAUGAACCAUAAAACUGUCAUAACUUGGACUACCAUCGUAUCUGCGUUGGCAUUCCACGGACUUGGAACACAAGCUCUCCACAUGUUCUCUCGGAUGGAAACGGCUGAAGUUAAGCCAAAUGAUAUCACUUUCAUAGCCAUCCUUUCUGCUUGUACUCAUGUUGGAUUGGUUGAUUUGGGUCGCUACUAUUUCAAUACUAUGCAAUCCAAGUAUGGGGUUCAACCCAAGAUUCAGCACUAUGGUUGCUUAAUUGAUUUAUUCGGGCGAGCAGGAUACCUAGAAGAAGCACUGGAACUAGUUAGUCAGAUGCCCUUUAAGCCAAAUGCAGCUAUCUGGGGGUCUCUUCUUGCUGCCUCUAAUAUUCAUGCUGAUGCUGAGCUGGGAGAGUUUGCUUUGCUGCAUUUGAUAAAGUUGGAGCCUUGGAAUAGUGGGAACUAUGCACUUUUAUCCAAUAUAUAUGCUUCUGCUGGCAGGUGGGACAAGUCUGUAAUGACAAGGAAGAUGAUGAGGGACAAAGGUGUUCGAAAGAUGCCGGGUUGGAGUUUCAUUCAGGUGAGUGAUAGAGCUCAUCAAUUCAUUGCAGGAGACACAUCACACCCCCAGUUUGAUAGCAUACAUGGAAUCCUAUUCAACAUAAAUGAGCAGAUGAAAAUUGCUCAUCAUCUGCUGAAUGAAUUCGGUGAGCUUCUUGAUUUUGAUGGAUGAUGGGAUGAAGAGUUACUACUUAAUCAUGACUCUGGUGGUGGACCAGCUUUAAUGGAAAGAGCAGCAUUUCAGCAUAAGUGAUUGCAGUUCCCGUUUAUGUCAACAGUGUUUUGAAUUCAGAAUGGUAACCAGGUCAGCUAAAAAUAAGUACAGGUCAUGUUCAACUUAUUAAGGAGUGUGGAUGGAAAGAUUGUUUGGUUGUACUUGAUAUAGACAUCUCAUGCCUGUCAAUGAACAUUGAUGCUUUGAAAUCUAUGUGCUGUCCCAUCUCAUCACAACAGGUACGUCUUUCCGUAGUCACCUUGUCUAUUUAGCUGCUCAUAGUCAUAGCUUUUUCCAGACAUAUUGUCUUUCACUUCUUUCACUUCUCCAUACUGCAUCUCACUCUUCAACUUGCACAAUGUCUGUUCUCCUUCCAAGCAUGGCAACAUAUUUAUGACAAGCUUUUAAUGUGUGAAAACAAGAAAGAAUAAGAAGGGUGGACAGGAAGAUCCAUCAGUAGCUUUAACUUCUUGGAGUUUGUGACGUUUUGUGUUUACACUUAAAAACCUUUAAAAUUGUAAUAUUGCUGAAGAUGUAAGGAGAAAGGGGGAAAAAAACAUGGGCCUCUAACAAUGGUCAGUUAAAAAUUCAGCAUAUUUCUUUGAGGAAUCUUAUGAAGAGAUUAGUUAUAUCAAGUUCGUGGUCAAAACUUUAGAUGCUUGUACUUACCCUCUGACUUAAACUGAUUCUCCAACACAUUGGUUGGGUCCUUAUGGAGACAAAUGUUUAACAUUUUUCUUGUCUGGUUGGAAAAAAAGGGGAAGGGGGGGUUGGUUUGGCUUUCACUUUUUGGCCAUGAUCUUCCCUGCAAUAUGCCAUUUCAGUCUGUUGCUUGAUAAUUUUUCUCUUGGAGUUUUGGAAUGAGAUUUCAGAAACAGGUGUUUUCUUUUUUCCAUCAAAAGGGAAAAGCAGCAAAGAAUUGUUUUCUACUUUGAUCGGGUAGACAAUAAGGGUACAGCUUUGAGAGCACAGAAGUCUGAUUUUGAGUUAUCACAGUGUGUUAAAUUUACAAGCUAUAAAGAUUUUUCAUAGCAGUGUCCUUCUGGCUUCUUACUUCCUGAUUUUUUAUGGAUGAAGUGAUCACCAUAAGUUUAUAAGAGCGAUUUGUCAUGAGAUAUAAGAUUUUGCUAAAUCAAAUGAUGAUAUGAGGUCCUGAGAUGUCAAUCAUUUCAAACCAUCCAGGUUAAUUGUACAUCAUCAAACUUGGGACUUGAACCAUUAGAUUGUGAAGUUAGAUGAGUGUGCAAAACUAGAUAAGUAACUUGCAUUGGACUCCUCAUGUCCCAAAUGAACACUUUUCACCCUUGCUGCAAAAUUUAAUGAACACAUUGUUUCACAUAGAUCUUCUUUGUGACUGACAUGUACAAGCAUCAGUGUUUUUGAAUCUUCACCUAAAGAUAAUAAGAUGAGAACUGAGAAGGUCAAUAAAAGUGAACUAAUUUGAGGACAAUGAAAUGAAAAAUAUUCUCAUGUGCAUAUCGGAUACUCCAACUAAUUGAACUCAUCGGUUCAUAUUACUCUGGCUGUUUCUGAGAAAGCCUGGACUUGAAUAAUUUCCUAUAACUGUUAGAAUCAUGUGAGGAAAGCAUCCUAAAUGAUAACCCUUGAAAGAUAAGAAUGGACACAAUAAUUUUUCCAAUGUAUAUAGUGCACAGAGAUUAGGUUUAACGAUUAUUAUUCUAACCCUAGAACUCAACUUCUUAGAGAAAACAAUUAGAUGAACGGAAAAUGGAAUUCAGUGAAGAAGAAUCAGUUACCUAAGGAAUCUUUAAGAACUUGUGUCAGCUUGCUGUUCCUUUUAGCUAAAAAGAGUUGGUGAUUUAGGGUAAAUCUUUCUUAGAUCAGGUUGAAUCUCAAGCUUGCCUAUAUGGUAUGUGGUUCUUUUUCCUUUGAAGAGCAUUUAUUACAUCACCAAGAGCAGAAAGAGAUAAAUUAAUCGCUUUUCCUUCACCAAGUCUUCUCCCCCAUGCCUUUGUCUUUAUCACACGCUCACUUACUCUAAGGUCAACUAACCAAUUUUUAGUUGUUUCUCGUCACCUCUCAGGAGCAUUAAAGAAAGUACUGAUAUGCGAAUCAUGCUAAGAGAAGCAACAAGUACAACAUACUUAAAGCAAGAAAAAUGAUGGUAUUGCUAUUUAUUCUGCUGUUCCCAGAGUUAGUGUCAGAAAUCAAAUGCAGUUUGUCUGCCAGUAAUGGUUCUCAAGCUCAAGACCUCUAGAGACUAGAAAGGAGCUGGAUAAUCUGCACUCUAAAUAUUAGUCAAAAAUCUGAUCAGUAAAAACUACGUACCAGUGGGAUCUGGUUGAAGUAGUGUUUGAAUUUGUUGAGGUAGUUGAUCUGAGUUGGCAUCCUAAUCUAUACAAGCUUCAAAGCUUGGUUGAAGUCACUUACUUGGAUGGAAACUAGGCUAUCAAUUCUAAUUCCUCCCUCUGCAUCUGUUUGAAUUGAAAGGCUGCAUGCAGACAUCACGGCAUCCAAUCAGCAGGCAUUUGCAGUAAUGCACUCAUCAAACUGUAUUUGCAUACUCACCAUGGUGUCAGAGGAUCUGUUGCCCUCAUAGGCUGUGGUACAAGUAGGUCUCUGAGAUUUCCUAAAUAAAUCUCAAGCAUACUGAAAUUUAUGAGGAAAGUAUGGUUACUAUCCACUGCUUGCUUAAACGAAGUCUCAAUCAUCCGUGGCACUAUUCCUGGGGAAUCUGAAGUACCUUCCCAUAUGUUUAGCUAAAAGGUUUAAACCUACUAUAGAAGUCCCCGUUACCAGUUAUGAUAGUAUCAUCUAUUAUGCUAGUGGAUUGUCAUCACCAUUGUGAAGGUUUUCCCAGUUCCCGUUUGACCAUAUGCAAAAAUGCAUGCAUUUUAACCGUCAAGGACAGAUUUGAUGACUGUUUUAACUUUUGAAAAAACUGCAUCUUAAAUUUAAAGACAUGCAAUCCAUUGUGAAGACUUGGAUGAGCAAAAUAUUGUUUUAAAGAGAUGAUGAAAUCAAGGAACAGGGAGAUUUGCAGGGUACCUUCCGAUGAACCUGGGUGGAACACUUUGUUAAGGUUGUAUUUCUUUUGUUAGCAGCAAGUUUUAAGAGGAACUGAAAAACCUCUCUUCUUUUAACUAAUAAAAUUUCUCUAAUAAAAGGUGAAAGAUAGCCCAUAUAAAUGCAUCAAAAGGAACUGUACCAGAUUGUAAUCAUUAUUUGAGCCUACAGCUUCUUGACAAAGGACCUACCUUCAACUGCAUUGCGUGAAAUGAAUAUAUGUUGCCAAGGGCCCUAUAACGGUAGAAUGAUUCAUGGUUGCUCAUUAUUAAUUUUAUAGUAAUAUUCCAAUGUGUAGAGAGUAAAAGGCUCCUCACUAUCAUAAUGUGGGAGGUGCCAUUGAUGAGCUAACCAACCUUGACAGUGUGACCCUAUCAGGUGUCAAAUUCUGUAUGUAUUGGACCAGUCUUUGGUUGGGUCCUGUCCUGUCUUGUUGAAUGGAUGGUAUAAAAAUUUACGUGUGCUGACUAGGCCAACUUUGACAAAUCAAUUCUUUUCCAACUGAGGCUAAUUACUCAAACAACAAG